rnacentral:misc_RNA from 1 species
AACGCACAUUGCGCCCUUUGGUAUUCCGAAGGGCAUGCCUGUUCGAGCGUCAUUUUCACCCCUCAAGCCCCCGGCUUGGUGUUGGACGGUUUGGUCCCGGGCCCCCCUGGACCCCUCCCAAAGACAAUGACGGCGGGCUGUUGCACCCCCGGUACACUGAGCAUCUUCACGGAGCACGUACCGGUCUCAAGGGUCGACGGCACCCGGUCUACACCUAUAUCUUUCACAAGGUUGACCUCGGAUCAGGUAGGAAUACCCGCUGAACUUAA